CAGAAAUUAUGAGGUUGUUAUACUCGUAYUUAGGGCUUUGAAGGCUCUUGGUUUUAUUAACCUAAACUU
rnacentral:tRNA from 1 species